rnacentral:rRNA from 1 species
AUGGGAACGCGAAGAACCUUACCUACUCUUGACAUCCAGAGAACUUUCCAGAGAUGGAUUGGUGCCUUCGGGAACUCUGAGACAGGUGCUGCAUGGCUGUCGUCAGCUCGUGUUGUGAAAUGUUGGGUUAAGUCCCGCAACGAGCGCAACUCGUUAUCCUUUGUUGCCAGCGGUUAGGCCGGGAACUCAAAGGAGACUGCCAGUGAUAAACUGGAGGAAGGUGGGGAUGACGUCAAGUCAUCAUGGCCCUUACGAGUAGGGCUACACACGUGCUACAAUGGCGCAUACAAAGAGAAGCGACCUCGCGAGAGCAAGCGGACCUCAUAAAGUGCGUCGUAGUCCGGAUUGGAGUCUGCAACUCGACUCCAUGAAGUCGGAAUCGCUAGUAAUCGUAGA